rnacentral:rRNA from 1 species
UACGGAGGGUGCAAGCGUUGUUCGGAAUUAUUGGGCGUAAAGCGCGUGUAGGCGGCUAUUUAAGUCUGAUGUGAAAGCCCGGGGCUCAACCUCGGAAGUGCAUUGGAAACUACAUUGCUAGAGUACCAGAGAGGUAAGCGGAAUUUCCUGUGUAGCGGUGAAAUGCGUAGAUAUUAGGAGGAACACCAGUGGCGAAGGCGGCUUUCUGGACUGUAACUGACGCUGAGGUGCGAAAGCCAGGGGAGCAAAC